GCUAUUGCGUUUACGGGCAACCGACCUUAGCUAGAGAGCGUCACCUCGGUGACUACGAUGGUAGAUUGUUAAAUGGAAUAAACUCGACGGACCCGGAGGGCAGUACUCCGGCGCCUCCACCAACAACCGCGGAUUAAUCCCACUGUUGUUGAUGGGGGCGAAACAGGAUCGACGUGUGUAGUAAAGAUUUGAUUGCCAUCCGGCGUGAUUGAGCCGUUAAACCGAUCAUUUUUACAAGUGCCAACGAUAACGAGGUACUCGCUGUUGCUGCGUAAUGAAAACCUUCACGGGUAGACAUUACUAAGUAAGAGCGCGGUCGGGCUGCACCGGGCAACAGAAGCAGAUUCC
rnacentral:tmRNA from 1 species